CUCCCCCCAAAAGCUCCUUGGUGGGAUCAGGCUGUUGGGACCCCAAAUUCUUCUGGGGGGUCCCCAAAAUCUUGGGGGGGUCCCCCAAAAUUUCCCAGGGGGGGUCAAGUCAUGGGGACCCCCCCAAUAUUUUUUUGGGGGGGUGCCAAAAUCCCUCUGGGGGGGUCCCCAAAAUGUCCAGGGAGAGGGUCAGGUCAUGGGGGGUCCCCCCAAAACCCUCGGGGGGGUCCCCAAAAUCCCGAGGGGGGGGUCAGGUCAUGGGGGCGGUCCUCAAAGUGCCCUGGGGAAGGGGGGGGAGGUUGAGGGGGGCCCCCCAAAGCACUGGGGGGGUCCCCAAAACUCCCCCCCCAUUGGGUGCUUAGCCUGGGGGGGGGGCACCCACAACCCCUCUGGGCCCCCCAAAAGGGGCGGAGCUUCAAAUUACCCCAGGGGAGGGGCUAAAAUGGGGGGUGGGGGGUUCAGCUACCCCCCCCAGGGCACCCCCAAAGCCUCUUCCUAUUCGGGGGGGGCCCCCAAAACCCUCUCGGGGGGGGGCCCCAAAGUGUCUUAUGGGGGGGGCCGCCCCCAAAUCUUGCACAAGGAUGAAUUGGGGUCCCCCCCUUUUUGGGGGGGGGGGCUUCCCUCACGCCCCUCCCCAAACCUGCUGCGGGGCCCCGGCGCCCCUCCCCCCCCCUUUUAUACCAGAUGCGCGGGGGCGGGGCCCGGCGGCGAGGCCCCGCCCCUUCUCUAUUUUUUGUCCAAAGACGAGUGGGCCCCGCCCCACCGGCCCGUCUCGGCCAAUAAACGAUGCUGACUUUUACCAGCCUGCGGGGUGCCGGCUCUUGAUUGGAUGAGAGGCGCCGCGGGGCGGGGCAGAUCGCGCCUCCCACGUGGGGCUGCGGCGAGACUGGGGAGGGCGCUUAAAGGGGCGAUGCCGAGGGGGUGGGUCCCACAGGGUGUGAUGAGUUGCCCGUGCUCAGCCAGGGCCUCCCCCAAACACAGCGCUGAAUCAAGGGGAAAAAUACAUUUAUUGUGGGGGUGGGAAGAAGGUGUGUGGGGGGGUCCUGGGAAUCUUCCGUGUGGAUCUUGGGGGGCCC
rnacentral:lncRNA from 1 species